AACCGCACUUGAAUCUUAUUCCAAUCGAGUCAUGUCAGGGGCAGAUUCCUCUAAUGCAAGGAACAAGAGUAAUUGACUCUUAUAGAGCCUCACUAGCUCCUGAAACUGUAGAAAUGCUUAUGUGUGCCGGAGAUUGGUGCCGAAACAUUCAUGGAGUGAAAAAAAAGAUAAAAAAAUUGAAGGCAGCAAAAGAGAUUCUACUUCCCAUAAAAUGAAUGUGAUAAUUGGAAAGGGCCUGCAGUUGAAAUUGGAAAGUUGGAAAGGAUUAUCGUGGAAUGGACAAGAAGUUCCUGUUUUACUGCUUUAAUUGCAAAAUUUGUUUCACUUUUUUAAGUAUGAUUAUUUCUUGACAAUUGACAUUGC